CGCCGAGGGGCUGCCCACAGCCCGCUCUGCUGAACCCAGCCGGACCAGACGCGCGGGGGGGAGGGGAGACACAGGAGAGCCGGGGAUGGAGGGGGAGAGGUGACUGUGGGAGAAUAUAUCUCCCCUACACAUCACUCCCACCCUUCUUCUGGUGCAAGCGCCACUAAAUCUCGCCGUAACGUUCCUCCGCUUUAGGAGAGACUUGCAGGACUCUUAGAGGGAUACAGGUGGCCAGCCGGGAGUCUCUCUUUCCUCUCCAGCCUCCUGGACAGCGGGUCCUUAGCGUCCAUCCCGCGGCCGGCGGCCGGAGGGCUCCCGAGGGCACCUCACAGGUUAUCCCCGGGCGGUCCUUCCUCCCAGGAGACACGGCAGGGUCCGGGGGUGCCGUGAUCCUGGCGGUGCCGGAGCGCACCUGGACCGAGUGCCCAGCCAGGAAACUCCGGGCCGGACACAGCCCCGCGGGACUUGGCGGUACCUGCCGCGGGCAGGACACGCUCUCUCCAAAGGAGAUCCUGCCGCUUUCCUACACAACUACGAGCGAAUGAUCACCCGGGGGUGGGGGGUGAUGCUUCUACGAGCGGGCGGGGGGCAGCUACCGGCUCAGGGUACUCGCGGUACCCGGGGUCUCGCCGGCCCCGCCGCCCUGUCCCUUGCGCGUUGUCACCGGUCGCUGUUGGAACCGUGGCACCGCAAACACCGCCGGGGCCACCGCCCUCACCCUCCCUGGCAGCGACAACAGCGACAGAGGCGCAGUGAAGGUUCACCUGCCGCAGGACACGGCGAGCCCGUGUCUUCUCGGUGACAAGUUUACAGGACGUACCGCUUCAAAAUCCACGGCAAACUGAAGCACCCUCGGAGGGCACUUGUGCAGACAGCCCGUGCCCGUGCUGGGGAAUCGCUCCGACCUCUCUGCUCUGCCUCCAGCUCUGCCUCCUUCUCUGGCCGCACCGCGGCUCCCGCACACCGCGGGCACCCCCUGCCCGGGAGCUGCGGGGAGCUGCGGGAUCGGGACAGGGGCUGAUGCUGGCUUUGCUCGUUUCUAUGACGGACCGACACACGAGGUUGGUUGAACUCGGUACCUUAAAGGGACUUCACAACCUAAACGAUUUCAUGAUUGGUUCUAUGAUCUCCGGCUCUGCAAUGGACACCGUACAUACAGGAAUGGAAGUCUUUGGCCAGCCUGAGCGGGGUGUUUAAUUUCCCAUGAAAACUAGAGCUCUCUAGGAGCAAACAGAAAGUGCUUUUCCCGUAGUGGGCUGUUUCUCGAGCUAGCAUGGGGGUUUUCUCUUUCCCUGAAAUAAGCUAGCUUGAUAAAUCAUCUUGAAAGGGAACAAAUGUUUUCUUGAUCGCUUAGCUCUGCAUUACUCCAUCUGGAAGGAAGAACUGCCGAAAUCCUUCCAAACCUUCUCCUCUCUCACUUUCCAGCAGUGAAACGAGACCUUGGCCAUUAGCGCAUCCUUCCUCCCCGCGGCUCCUGGAGAGGCUGGCGGGGGGGCUCCGGGGUUGCCAGCUCAGCUCAGCUCAGCUCGGCUCAGCUCAGCUCAGCUCAGCCCUGUGCUGGGCCAAGCCCGGCACCUGCUCCCUCCGGGCCGCCUCAGCCGUGCGGGGCACGGAGCGCGCCCGCCGCCAGCGCCCGGAGGCGUCCCGGGUAAUCCUCAGCGGCGGAGCCCGAGCACGGGGAGGAAAGCCCGGACCCUUCUGUCUCGGGAUGGGCUGAGAACUUUUGGGAAACGGCCAGCGGCACUUUCCUCAGCUGUUCCCGUCCAGCCAGCGCCAGGGAGAGAGAGAUAUCUCCCGUCCCGCUGCCCCAGCAUAGGCCGGGAGCGCUGGCAGCAGCUCCCCUCGGGGGCGCACGGCAUGCCGAGAGGAGCUGCUCCCUCUUUGCAGGAGGCAUUUGCCCGCCUCUUCCCGAGAUCCCGACCCCAAUUCCGAUCACACUCCCUGUCUCGCCCAAGAGUGCUUGGGUGCCCAGUCAACUGGGCCAAGCAGUGGCCGAGGAGAUGGCAGUUCAGGGCCGGCAUCUCCUUUGUCGGCUUCCAGAACCAGGCGGCCCGGAACAUUUUGCCCUGUCCCCUCCAAACACAGCCCGAUCCAGAACUCUGCCAGGCUUCAUUGCCCGCUUCCAUUGGUAAUUCCUGAUAACGCUCAGCCUUCGAUUGUGCUGAAGGCAUAUUCUACAAGGUUAAACAAUAGCUGGAGGAGGAUAAUUCUAGUGAGAGUCCCACUCGAUCCCGAGAAAAACGGGGUGGGGAACCUGCUUCCACCUGAGCACCGCCGCCGCACCUCCCCAGCCGACGAUUUCUCUCUGCCAUGCUGCUGACAAGUUAAGGGAUCGGUCAUUCUUACUAAACUCCUAAACGAUCCCCCCGCGGUUCGGAGGUGGGCGAGACUGACUGAAACGGAGAUAAAUCCCCAGCCUUUCCCCUCCUGCUCACGCCGCUCACAGCACGCAGGGGGAUCUGUCUCCUUUCACUCAGGGAGCUGAUCAGAGUUUGAUUAUUUAAGUGCUAAGAGCAGCAGAAACAAAGCUGCGAAGCAUCUCCAGGAGCGCAGGGGGCAGAAACUCAUCACGGCGGGCUCAAUCCCUCAUUGCCGCCUGCAAGGCAGGACCAUCCUUCCCUGUGCGGGCUGUCGUGGGCACGGGAACGCUUUCGAGCUGCUUAGAGGACAUUUUGUGUAUCCCCUGAGGGUAAAAGAGGUUUGUCUGAUGCACAGAGGAGGAAAGAUGCGCGGCUCUCCCCGCAGCUGCCGGGGACCCCUCCGGGCGGGUGCGGGGAUGAUGAAGAAGCUCCCGCGGGGUCCUGAACAUCUCCCUUGGUCCCGGCUCUUCCCCCGCCCGGCCGGGGCAGCCUCCCCAGAGCCGAGCCCGCCGUGCAGCGGGCCGGGCCAGGCCGCCGGGGCUUGGGCCAUUAUUGUACCGUAAAUCUUGGAAACGCUGGAACUAAUUACGGAGAGGAUAUGUCUCAAUUUGUUCCGCAUUAGUGCCGCGCCGGGACGCAGGCACCGAGCACGUGAAAUUGAUGGGCCCGGCCCGGCCCAGCCCCGAAGGGACGGCGGCCCUGACCCCGCGUUCAACCCGGGGGCGGCCCCGCUCCGCCUCCCGCACCUGCGGGGCCCCGAGGCCGCCCCGCACCCGCACCCGGCCCGGCCCGGGCGGUGCCCGCUGCAGCGCCGAGGUACCACUCGGGCUCCGGGAAAUUUAUUGGCGUGCUGCUAGGACGAGGCUCGGUAUAAAUCACCCAGCUGUAUAGGGCCAUAAAGCAUCCCCCUGUAUCCCGCCCUCGCCGGGGUUCUGGUGAAUAGGAGUUCAUGGAAGGCUGGGUAUCAGUAACAUCUUUCAGAUCUGGAGUAUGUGACGUUUUUAGAGUCUUAGAUAUACAAUGGGCUAUACUUAUGGAGCGGCUAAAAGUAUUACAUAGAAUUUUUAUAGGUAUUUUGUACUUACAUGCAAAAGAAAUUUUUGGGGAAAAAGCUCUUAGGUAAUAUGCUCAGUUCUUGGCAUUGCCGGUAAUGGCCUUGAAAGUAAUAAAAUUAUUAUUUCGGCAGGAGAAAAAUAAAAAUAUGCUAAAAUUUAGUGCAUUAUAAAUGGAUAUCUGGUAACUGAGACUUAAGGAAUUAAUUACUCCCAGGUCACAGCAUGCAGAUCCCACUGUAAAGGCACACUGAACUCUAAAUGUAAUAAUGUGUAAACACAUCUGUAACAAUACCUGGCAUGGACAGCAAUUCAAAGAAUUCUUUGAGCCACCUGGGACAUCAUCUUUGGAUAUGGGUACAUACUAGAAAUAUAAACCAAAGAUUUAUAUAUUCAAAAGAAUUAGAAAGGAUCCAGCUGCAAUGGACAAAUGCUGCAGUAUCCUCAGUACCUCAGGGGAAGGAAAGGCACCCACAGCCUCAGGCCUCACUAACUGUGGGACAUUACAGGACAGGGACAGAAGAUGAAUUAUCCUUUACCAGUUUCUCCAUAAACUGGCUAUGAACCAACCAUCCAUAGCCUUUAUCUAUCAACUUAACUCUUUAAAAAACACACUUUAACAGUACAAAGCAAGGUCCAAGUCUCCCUUUGUUCCUGCAAAACCCUUUGGCAGCCCUGUGCAAAGACACCCUCUUCAUCAGUUGUCCUCAGUGGGAAACAAGAGGGCUCCAUGUCUUAGCUGAGGGUCUAAACCCUUUUUCACUGGUUUUGUUCAUUGUACACACCUCAGAGGAAUUUGUCCAUGCAAGCCCCUGACUAAAAGUGCUGUAAGGCAAGUGUUCUCACUGAAAUCAGUGCCUGAGGAUGCCAGUCCACCAGGAUUUGUACCACAUAAUGGGGAAGGUCAAGCAUUUCCUCUGCCUGAGGACGUUUGGUGAGUGCAGAAGACAAGCAGUGGGGACAAUGUGCCUGAUGCCUAAAGCAGAAGAGAAUCAAAAGCUCCCGGGUUCUGUUCAAUACCUUCUGCACACUCUAGAGAAAUGGAAGAGGUGACAGCAGUUUUGCCAGAACCAUGGGGGACUCCAGCAGUAUUUGUGGGUGCUUGGAGGCCUUGGGUAAGCAAAGAAAAGCAGAUGGUUGCAUUUUGCAGUGCAGCUUUGUGUGAUGUGUCAGUGAUGUGACCCGUGAGGGGGUGGCAGGGCUGGAGAGCUGUUGCAACUCGCCGAGUCCCUCCUCCCAGCCCCAGCAGCACAGCACAGCCAACACCCACGGCUCCUUCACAGCCUGGGCAGACAUUCCACUGCCCCCAGCCUCCCAGCACAGCCCUUUGGCUUCCUUAGAAACAGAGCAAACCCAGUCCUUCGUAACCACAGCUACACGAAGGCGUGUGUAGCUUCUCUCUCUGGACUGCACGUAGCGAUACGUGUGGAUUGCAGCAGUACACGUGAGGUACAAGCUCAUUUUACCCAUCUGGAUGGCUGGAAGCAACAGGCAGCAAAAAUGUAGCCCCAGCUGAAACCAGAGGUUUCUCAGUUCUUAGGUCUGAGGUUUCCCACUCAGUGUGGCUUUUGGUCAAACCCGAAGUUUUACAGGCAAAGUCUCCCUUGUGUGGGUGUGGGACAUCUGGUGUGGAUGUGAGUGUGAAAGGCCAUCUGAAAAGUCCAUGGUUUCAGGGCAUCAACCCAAGAGAGAUCUGCUGCAAGAAGGGACAGAAGCCACAGUAUCAGAUUCAGAUGGGCUGCUGUCACUGCUUUCAGAUCUGUGACCAUCACUGUCCAACUGCAGCUUCUGCUGCCCCCACUGCCACUGUCCCACAAAGCUCAUGCUGAGCAGGGAAAGCUGGAGAGGAAGCUGCGGGGUGAGGUGGGGGAAAAAAGGAGACGAGGGAGGGAACCCACAUGUUGAACUUGCCUUAGAAGUCACAUUUCUUCUUCAUGAGAUGCAGGACAUUCCUUUCCCUUCAGAUUUUAUGUCUGUUUGAUUGCACUAAAUUCAUCUGAGUGCUGCUAUGACACAGGAAUUAAAAGCACCGAAGGUUUGCCGUAGCUGUUGAGUCAUGGGCGCAGACUGAUCAAAUCUACCGCUUGUUUUUCUUCCUAUUACAUGAAA